rnacentral:rRNA from 1 species
AGUGAACGCUGGCGGUAGGCCUAACACAUGCAAGUCGAACGGCAGCACAGUAAGAGCUUGCUCUUACGGGUGGCGAGUGGCGGACGGGUGAGGAAUACAUCGGAAUCUACUUUUUCGUGGGGGAUAACGUAGGGAAACUUACGCUAAUACCGCAUACGACCUACGGGUGAAAGCAGGGGAUCUUCGGACCUUGCGCGAUUGAAUGAGCCGAUGUCGGAUUAGCUAGUUGGCGGGGUAAAGGCCCACCAAGGCGACGAUCCGUAGCUGGUCUGAGAGGAUGAUCAGACACACUGUAACUGAGACACGGGCCAGACUCCUAUGGGAGGCAGCAGUGGGGAAUAUUCGGCAAUGGGCGCAAGCCUGAGGGAGCAACACCGCGUGAGUGAAGAAGGGCUUCGGGUUGUAAAACGCUCUUUUGUGGGAAGAAAAAAUGUGCAGGUAAAUACCCCGGUGUUGACGGUACCCAAAAAGAAAGCACCGGCUAACUCCGUG